UAGGGAAUCUUCCACAAUGGGCGCAAGCCUGAUGGAGCAACGCCGCGUGAGUGAAGAGGGUCUUCGGAUCGUAAAACUCUGUUGUUAGAGAAGAACACGAGUGAGAGUAACUGUUCAUUCGAUGACGGUAUCUAACCAGCAAGUCACGGCUAACUACGUGCCAG
rnacentral:rRNA from 1 species